GAUGAACGCUAGCGAUAGGCUUAACACAUGCAAGUCGAGGGGCAGCAUGGUCUUAGCUUGCUAAGACUGAUGGCGACCGGCGCACGGGUGCGUAACGCGUAUGCAACUUGCCUCACAGAGGGGGAUAACCCGUCGAAAGACGGACUAAUACCGCGUACACUCCAUCUUGGGCAUCCAAGGUAGAGGAAAUGAAAUUCGCUGUGAGAUAGGCAUGCGUCCCAUUAGCUAGUUGGUGAGGUAACGGCUCACCAAGGCGACGAUGGGUAGGGGAACUGAGAGGUUGAACCCCCACACUGGUACUGAGACACGGACCACACUCCUACGGGAGGCAGCAGUGAGGAAUAUUGGUCAAUGGGCGAGAGCCUGAACCAGCCAAGUCGCGUGAAGGAUGACUGUCUUAUGGAUUGUAAACUUCUUUUAUACGGGAAUAACAAGAGUCACGUGUGGCUCCCUGCAUGUACCGUAUGAAUAAGCAUCGGCUAACUCCGUG
rnacentral:rRNA from 1 species